UUAAAGCUUUUUUAUUUUACUUUUUUCUCCCAAAGCUUUAGCAUAAAGGGAGUGGUUACUCAUGGAUGCGCAUUGCAGGCGUUGCUUCAGCUCCUUCCUCUCGAUGGUUCUAAUGUUAAAACACUCAGCGCGCGCCUCCUGAUUUGCCAUGUGCAUCACACACACCCUGUUAAAACAAGGUGACAUUGGGGAUGGUUGCGGGGCCAGGUGGUGCCUGAUGGCGAUGCUUGCAGGGCCGCAGUAACACCUCUGUUCCCACUGUUGCAGGUCCCAAGAUGGCCGCCGCUGCCUGGUCCCCUCCUGCGGUGUGCUGCGCUGCGUGAGUACCUGGCAAGCUCCUGCUGUGGUGCCUUGGGGUCAGGGAGGGGAUCUCAGCAAGAGGAUUUCUGCCCAUCUUUAACUGGCUGGAUCUGCUCCUGCCUGGCACUUUCAUCAGGGCAGCAAACCUUUGCCACCACGAGUUUGCAAGGUGAUGUACAAACACACGGGGUUUGGUUUCCAGCCUCAGGUGGGCUUUUACAUCCUUGCUUUUCAACAUCUGGGCUGAGAGUUUUCCUGAUUCACUGCAGGUCUUCCUGGAGUAAGAGGCACAUCGGAUUCACCAGCAGGACAGAAAUCCGGCGUGUGGGAAAUAAGGGUCAUGAGUGAUGGGUAGGGAGGAGACAGAGAUGCUUAAGAAUCAUCCAGCAAGAAAAUGGAAGGAGUCAGAAAUGCAUUUGCUGCUGCUGCCUGUAAAAAAUCAGAAGCUGAUGUAUGUUUAUGUAAAGUGCUGCUUUUUGCUUUAAUUUCUCUAGUUCUAGGUUGUUGCUGUUCUGCAGUCUGGGCAUAAUGUAGCACAAUGAUGUCCUGGGCUGUGAUGCUUUGGUUGUCUUUGUAGUACUCUCCUAACAAUAAAUGUAAUAAAUUAGAGUAACAGGACAUAAUACUUUUUUUUUUUC